UGGGGAAUAUUGCGCAAUGGAGGAAACUCUGACGCAGCAACGCCGCGUGAAGGAAGAAGGCCUUCGGGUUGUAAACUUCUGUCUUUGGGGAAGAUAAUGACGGUACCCGAGGAGGAAGCCACGGCUAACUACGUGCCAGCAGCCGCGGUAAUACGUAGGUGGCAAGCGUUGUCCGGAAUUACUGGGUGUAAAGGGUGCGUAGGCGGGUUUCAAAGUCAGGUGUGAAAAACCACGGCUCAACUGUGGUCCUGCACUUGAAACUUGAGAUCUUGAGUGAGGUAGAGGUAAGCGGAAUUCCAAGUGUAGCGGUGAAAUGCGUAGAUAUUUGGAGGAACACCAGUGGCGAAGGCGGCUUACUGGGCCUUAACUGACGCUGAAGCACGAAAGCAUGGGGAGCAAACAG
rnacentral:rRNA from 1 species